GCCAGCGUGGUGAAAUUGGUAGACACGAUGGAUUCAAAAUCCAUUGCCUUCACGGCGUGGCGGUUCGAGUCCGCCCGCUGGUACCA
rnacentral:tRNA from 1 species